rnacentral:lncRNA from 1 species
UUUCCCUUCACUUUCCCUUUCCCCCUUUGCUUAGGCCAGAAUGUGAAUGUACUGGUAAACCAGCUCUGACCAUGAGGAGAAAGACACUCUCUAGAGGAUAGCAGGGCAAGGAGCCCUUGGAUGACUUCAUAGAACAGAGCCGCCUGCCCACCCUGGACUGCCGGCACACCUCUGGGGAGUGAGAGAAAAAUCAACUUCUGUCAUGUUGGAGCCACUGUAAUUUUGUUACAGCAGCUUAGCCAGCAUUUUGCCUAAUUGAACUUUCAGAAGAUAAUGAGGAAGUUUUCCCUUGGCGCCUACACAAGCAAGUAGAAUAACAUGUCAAAAUUGUUAUUAUCCAAGAUAGCAAUUUUUUUAUAUAUUUAGAGCUAUAGGACACAGAUGAGGCUGCCAUUGCUUUUAACUGGGGAGUAGCGGGGAGUCAAAGAAAGCCAUAAGGAAACACUGACCUGGGCAGAGCUUGGAAGAACACGGUGCAGUUCACCAGUGGAUCUGUGAAUGUUGG